rnacentral:tRNA from 1 species
UCCCCUGUAGCUCAGUUGGUAGAGCAACGGACUGUUAAUCCGUUUGUCGUAGGUUCGAGCCCUACCGGGGGAG